rnacentral:rRNA from 1 species
UCGAGGAUCUUUUGCAAUGCCCGACAGGGUGACAAUGCGACGCCGCGUGAGCGAUGAAGGCCUUCGGGUUGUAAAGCUCUGUCAGCAGGGAUGAAUGUUUGCGGGUUAAUAACCCGUAAAUGCGACGGUACCUGCAGAGGAAGUCACGGCUAACUCUGUGCCAGCAGCCGCGGUAAUACAGAGGUGGCAAACGUUGUUCGGAUUCACUGGGUGUAAAGGACAUGUAGGCGUUUCAAUAAGUCGGUUGUGAAAUCCCUUGGCUCAACCAAGGAACUGCGACCGAUACUGCUGAAAUUGAGUACGAGAGAGGUAAGUGGAAUUCCAGAAGUAAGGGUGAAAUCUGUAGAUAUCUGGAGGAACACCAUUAGCGAAGGCGGCUUACUGGCUCGAUACUGACGCUGAAAUGUGAAGCGUAGGGGAGCAAACAGGAUUAGAUACCCUGGUAGUCCUAGCU